UUCCGUAGGGGUGACCUGCGGAGGGAUCAUUACUGAGUUUACGCUCUAUAACCCUUUGUGAACAUACCUAUAACUGUUGCUUCGGCGGGUAGGGUCUCCGCGACCCUCCCGGCCUCCCGCCUCCGGGCGGGUCGGCGCCCGCCGGAGGAUAACCAAACUCUGAUUUAACGACGUUUCUUCUGAGUGGUACAAGCAAAUAAUCAAAACUUUUAACAACGGAUCUCUUGGUUCUGGCAUCGAUGAAGAACGCAGCGAAAUGCGAUAAGUAAUGUGAAUUGCAGAAUUCAGUGAAUCAUCGAAUCUUUGAACGCACAUUGCGCCCGCCAGCAUUCUGGCGGGCAUGCCUGUUCGAGCGUCAUUUCAACCCUCAAGCUCUGCUUGGUGUUGGGGCCCUACAGCUGAUGUAGGCCCUCAAAGGUAGUGGCGGACCCUCCCGGAGCCUCCUUUGCGUAGUAACUUUACGUCUCGCACUGGGAUCCGGAGGGACUCUUGCCGUAAAACCCCCCAAUUUUCCAAAGGUUGACCUCGGAUCAGGUAGGAAUACCCGCUGAACUUAAGCAUAUCAAUAAGCGGAGGAA
rnacentral:rRNA from 1 species